UUCUUUUCUGGACCAACAACUACUGACACAGAUGGACUUAUAUUUUAUUUAUUUUAUUAACUCCUGAACAUCCCAUUGUCCUGUUUACUCAUUGUACUGACGACUUCACCUAAAACUCAUAGAAAAUACAGAGGCACAUUAAAAACACCAGUUUGUUAUUAUUGUAAAUAAUUAUUGUGUGUUUGUUUGACAAGUUGAUUAAAUCCUGAGCAUGUUGUAAUGUGUGAUAAUGAAAUAUAAAGAUUUCUGUACUUUUCUAUCAACUCUUUGACUCUUUUUCUGCUUUGAUGUACUUUUUUCAUAAAUAAAAGUAAUGCUUUUGAUACUGCUUUCAACAGUUAGUGAAUAAAUAUUUCAGUCACUGCGUC